GGGAGUGAAAUAGAACCUGAAACCCUGCACUGACAAGCUGGGGAAGCACAUUUCUUGUGUGACCGCGUACUUUUUGUAGAACGGGCCAACGAGUUACGUUAAGUAGCAAGGUUAAGCACUUAAGGUGCGGAGCCGUAGCGAAAGCGAGUUUUAACUGAGCGUUCAGUUACUUGACGUAGACCCGAAACCGGGCGACCUACCCAUGAGCAGGAGGAAGCGAAAGUAAAAUUUCGUGGAGGUCCGAACCCACGAGCGUUGAAAAGCUCGGGGAUGACUUGUGGGUAGCGGUGAAAUUCCAAUCGAGCCCGGAGAUAGCUGGUUCUCCCCGAAAUAGCUUUAGGGCUAGCCUCAAGGUGAGAGAUACGGAGGUAGAGCACUGAAUGUCCUAGGGGGUAUUGCACCUACCGAAGACGAUCAAACUCCGAAUGCCUUCAUCUUAUACUUGGGAGUCAGACUGUGGGUGAUAAGAUUCAUAGUCGAAAGGGCAACAGCCCAGAUCGUCAGCUAAGGUCCCUAAAUGUAAGUUAAGUGGUAAAGGAUGUGGGAUUGCACAGACAACCAGGAUGUUGGCUUAGAAGCAGCCACUCAUUCAAAGAGUGCGUAAUAGCUCACUGGUCGAGUGAUCCUGCGCCGAAGAUUUCCGGGGCUAAAACUUACUACCGAAGCUACGGCAUCAGUAAUGAUGGGUAGGGGAGCUUCCCAUACGGGUUGAAGCAUGACCGUAAGGACAUGUGGACAGUAUGGGAGUGAGAAUGUUGGCAUGAGUAGCGAGAUGUGGGUGAGAA
rnacentral:rRNA from 1 species